CGGAAAGUAGUGUAGUGGUUAUCAUCUUCGUUUCCCAAAUGAAGGACCGGGGUUCGAUUCCCCGCUAUCUGA